CCUACGGGAGGCAGCAGUAGGGAAUAUUGGGCAAUGGGCGAAAGCCUGACCCAGCGACGCCGCGUGAGGGAUGAAGGUCUUCGGAUUGUAAACCUCCUUCAGUAGGGAAGAAGCGAAAGUGACGGUACCUAAAGAAGAAGCACCGGCUAACUAUGUGCCAGCAGCCGCGGUAAU
rnacentral:rRNA from 1 species